GCCUUCGUUAUGUAGUGGUCAGCACGCUGGGCGCGUAUUCCAGAGGUCCAAGGUUCGAAUCCUGGCGAGGGCA
rnacentral:tRNA from 1 species